rnacentral:tRNA from 1 species
AUGAGACUAGCUCAGUUGGUAGAGCAUCGGAUUCCAAAUCCGGCGGUCCUGGGUUCGACUCCAAGGUCUCAUA